rnacentral:rRNA from 1 species
UGGGGAAUAUUGCACAAUGGGCGCAAGCCUGAUGCAGCCAUGCCGCGUGUAUGAAGAAGGCCUUCGGGUUGUAAAGUACUUUCAGCGGGGAGGAAGGGAGUAAAGUUAAUACCUUUGCUCAUUGACGUUACCCGCAGAAGAAGCACCGGCUAACUCCGUGCCAGCAGCCGCGGUAAUACGGAGGGUGCAAGCGUUAAUCGGAAUUACUGGGCGUAAAGCGCACGCAGGCGGUUUGUUAAGUCAGAUGUGAAAUCCCCGGGCUCAACCUGGGACCUGCAGCUGAUACUGGCAAGCUUGAGUCUCGUAGAGGGGGGUAGAAUUCCAGGUGUAGCGGUGAGAUGCGUAGAGAUCUGGAGGAAUACCGGUGGCGAAGGCGGCCCCCUGGCCGAAGACUGACGCUCAGGUGCGAAAGCGUGGGGAGCAAACAGG